CGGGACGGGUGAGUAAUGUCUGGGAAACUGCCUGAUGGAGGGGGAUAACUACUGGAAACGGUAGCUAAUACCGCAUAACGUCGCAAGACCAAAGAGGGGACCUUCGGGCCUCUUGCCAUCGGAUGUGCCCAGAUGGGAUUAGCUAGUGGGUGGGGUAACGGCUCACCUAGGCGACGAUCCCUAGCUGGUCUGAGAGGAUGACCAGCCACACUGGAACUGAGACACGGUCCAG
rnacentral:rRNA from 1 species